ensembl:snRNA U6 U6 spliceosomal RNA
UUGCUUUGGCAGCACAUAUACUAAAAUUGCAAUGAUACAGAGACUAUUAGUAUGGCACCUGUACAAAGAUGACAUGCAAAUUUCUGAAGUAUUUAUAUAUAUAU